UUCCGUUAAUUGAUUAUGACGUACUUGUACUGAUUGAGAUUUUAACACGAAGUGAGUGGCGAACGGGUGAGUAACACGUGGGUAACCUGCCCAGAAGUAGGGGAUAACACCUGGAAACAGAUGCUAAUACCGUAUAACAGAGAAAACCGCAUGGUUUUCUUUUAAAAGAUGGCUCUGCUAUCACUUCUGGAUGGACCCGCGGCGUAUUAGCUAGUUGGUGAGGUAAAGGCUCACCAAGGCAGUGAUACGUAGCCGACCUGAGAGGGUAAUCGGCCACAUUGGGACUGAGACACGGCCCAGACUCCUACGGGAGGCAGCAGUAGGGAAUCUUCCACAAUGGACGCAAGUCUGAUGGAGCAACGCCGCGUGAGUGAAGAAGGGUUUCGGCUCGUAAAGCUCUGUUGUUAAAGAAGAACGUGGGUAAGAGUAACUGUUUACCCAGUGACGGUAUUUAACCAGAAAGCCACGGCUAACUACGUGCCAGCAGCCGCGGUAAUACGUAGGUGGCAAGCGUUAUCCGGAUUUAUUGGGCGUAAAGCGAGCGCAGGCGGUCUUUUAAGUCUAAUGUGAAAGCCUUCGGCUCAACCGAAGAAGUGCAUUGGAAACUGGGAGACUUGAGUGCAGAAGAGGACAGUGGAACUCCAUGUGUAGCGGUGAAAUGCGUAGAUAUAUGGAAGAACACCAGUGGCGAAGGCGGCUGUCUGGUCUGCAACUGACGCUGAGGCUCGAAAGCAUGGGUAGCGAACAGGAUUAGAUACCCUGGUAGUCCAUGCCGUAAACGAUGAUUACUAAGUGUUGGAGGGUUUCCGCCCUUCAGUGCUGCAGCUAACGCAUUAAGUAAUCCGCCUGGGGAGUACGACCGCAAGGUUGAAACUCAAAAGAAUUGACGGGGGCCCGCACAAGCGGUGGAGCAUGUGGUUUAAUUCGAAGCUACGCGAAGAACCUUACCAGGUCUUGACAUCUUCUGACAGUCUAAGAGAUUAGAGGUUCCCUUCGGGGACAGAAUGACAGGUGGUGCAUGGUUGUCGUCAGCUCGUGUCGUGAGAUGUUGGGUUAAGUCCCGCAACGAGCGCAACCCUUAUUACUAGUUGCCAGCAUUAAGUUGGGCACUCUAGUGAGACUGCCGGUGACAAACCGGAGGAAGGUGGGGACGACGUCAAAUCAUCAUGCCCCUUAUGACCUGGGCUACACACGUGCUACAAUGGAUGGUACAACGAGUCGCGAGACCGCGAGGUUAAGCUAAUCUCUUAAAACCAUUCUCAGUUCGGACUGUAGGCUGCAACUCGCCUACACGAAGUCGGAAUCGCUAGUAAUCGCGGAUCAGCAUGCCGCGGUGAAUACGUUCCCGGGCCUUGUACACACCGCCCGUCACACCAUGAGAGUU
rnacentral:rRNA from 1 species